rnacentral:misc_RNA from 1 species
CUCUCUCUCUCUCUCUCUCUCUCUUUUUGAGAUCUGCGUUUUCUUUUUCUUUCUCUGGUUCCGUCCAAGCUUCACUUGCUAGGCUUUUGAUUCAGAGAUUAGAACCUCUGAAUGCUAGAGGUUGCAGAUAUGGUUCCUCCUAUAGACACUCCAAGCAAAACUAUUGUUUCUCAACAGUCCUCACAUCCACCUCUUAAUGAG